AGUUGAAACCUCAAACCGAGUUGUUUGCAAAAUUUUGCCUUUUGCUUAUGUCUAAGUAGGGAGCAUUAUUGAAUAAAUUUGGUUUUGGAAUCUAAAGUUGGGGAGAGUAAAGUGAAAAGUUGAUUAGAAACUUGGAAAAGUGAGUUUUUAUGAAAGGGUAAAAAUAUGAAAAGAAAAAAGAAAAAGAAAUCACCCGUGAAACCAUAGAGCAAAGAAAAAAAGAAUAGGAAAAAAAAAGCAAAGAAAAUGCUCAUGGUUGUGUGGAUUUGAUAAGA
rnacentral:lncRNA from 1 species